AUGUAUGGAGUUUUACAGAGGGUAUUACAGGUUGGUAUCAGAGUAUAUUUAUUUUAUAUAUAUUUAAAAAAAUAAUAGCAGAAUUUUCGGGUUGUUACACCCAAACCCCUCGUGCCCAAGGUCUCUAUGUCAGUGUGUAUCGCCGUUAAUCUUUGAUCUCACCGUUCUUCGAUUGCAAGGACUUGCUGCUAAUUUUUGUGCUCAGAGUUUCAAGAAGAUUGGAGAAUCUCCCAUUUGCUCGCUACACUCCCAUCCCUCUCUAUCUCUCUCUUUCUCUUCUACUUGCUGUGAAAUCUGAUUUGCAGAGAAGGUGUUUGAUGGAAUGACUCAAAGAGAUGCGGCUUCUUGGAGCUCGAUGAUUGCAGGGAAUUCAAUGAGGAACCUCUUCAGGGGCAAUAUCGCUUGAAGGUAAUUUCAUGGUUUUCACUUUGUGCCUGAGAUCGUUGUUGGAGUGCCAAAAGAACCUGAAGAAGCCACUGCAGAAGCACUUCAAAAAUUCUCUGCUGCUGGUCUGCACAGCGCUCACUGAUUGGGAGAUGGCUCUGGGGCCAACCCAUUUGAGUUUCAAAGCUUAGCUUUAUGUUUUGACGGGCAGUGCAGCUAUCAUGUUUGCCGACCCCACUUUGCAAUUUUAAAAUAUAAAUUUGGUUAUGGAGAUGGUGUCGGUUCAUGAAGUUCAAUUUGAGUUGAGUGCAUAUGGGCACUACAGUGAUGAGUACUAAAGUGAUGGCAGUAGUUGGGUUUGAUGUAGCCAUGUUGAUCGUGGUUAAUUUGAUCUUGUUGCUGUUU